GCUGGGCAUGGUGGCGCAUGCCUGUAAUCCCAGCUACUCAGGAGGCUGAGGCAGGAGAAUUGCUUGUAUCCAGGAGUUGGAGGUUGCAGUGAGCUGAGAGUGCGCCAUUGCACUCCAGCCUGGGUGACAGAGCAAGACUCUGUCUCCA
rnacentral:SRP_RNA from 1 species